CAGUCGCCGCGGUAAUACGAAGGGGGCUAGCGUUGCUCGGAAUCACUGGGCGUAAAGGGUGCGUAGGCGGGUCUUUAAGUCAGGGGUGAAAUCCUGGAGCUCAACUCCAGAACUGCCUUUGAUACUGAAGAUCUUGAGUUCGGAAGAGGUGAGUGGAACUGCGAGUGUAGAGGUGAAAUUCGUAGAUAUUCGCAAGAACACCAGUGGCGAAGGCGGCUCACUGGCCCGAUACUGACGCUGAGGCACGAAAGCGUGGGAGCAAACAGGAUUAGAUACCCGUGUAGUCCCUGUCUCUUAUACA
rnacentral:rRNA from 1 species